UACGGAGGAUGCAAGCGUUAUCCGGAUUUAUUGGGUUUAAAGGGUGCGUAGGCGGGAUAAUAAGUCAGUGGUGAAAGCCUGUAGCUUAACUAUAGAAAUGCCAUUGAUACUGUUGUUCUUGAGUACAGUUGAGGUAGGCGGAAUGUGUAAUGUAGCGGUGAAAUGCUUAGAUAUUACACAGAACACCGAUUGCGAAGGCAGCUUACUAAGCUGGUACUGACGCUGAGGCACGAAAGCGUGGGGAGCAAACAGG
rnacentral:rRNA from 1 species